rnacentral:rRNA from 1 species
UACGGAGGGGGUUAGCGUUGUUCGGAGUUACUGGGCGUAAAGCGUACGUAGGCGGAUUAGUAAGUUAGAGGUGAAAUCCCAGGGCUCAACCCUGGAACUGCCUUUAAUACUGCUAGUCUUGAGUUCGAGAGAGGUGAGUGGAAUUCCAAGUGUAGAGGUGAAAUUCGUAGAUAUUUGGAGGAACACCAGUGGCGAAGGCGGCUCACUGGCUCGAUACUGACGCUGAGGUACGAAAGUGUGGGGAGCAAACAGG